rnacentral:rRNA from 1 species
GGAAAAGAAACUAACAAGGAUUCCCCUAGUAACUGCGAGUGAAGCGGGAAAAGCUCAAAUUUAAAAUCUGGCGGUCUCUUGGCCGUCCGAGUUGUAAUCUGGAGAAGCGUUUUCCGCGCUGGACCGUGUACAAGUCUCUUGGAACAGAGCGUCAUAGAGGGUGAGAAUCCCGUCCAUGACACGGACGACCAGGGCUCUGUGAUACGCUCUCGAAGAGUCGAGUUGUUUGGGAAUGCAGCUCAAAAUGGGUGGUAAAUUCCAUCUAAAGCUAAAUAUAGGCGAGAGACCGAUAGCGAACAAGUACCGUGAGGGAAAGAUGAAAAGCACUUUGGAAAGAGAGUUAAACAGUACGUGAAAUUGUUGAAAGGGAAACGCUUGAAGUCAGUCGCGUUGCGCACGAUUCAGCCUUGCCUCUCCCUCGGCUCGGUGCAUUUCGUGCGUGACGGGUCAACAUCGGUUUUAGCCGACGGAUAAGGCGUGGGAGAAUGUGGCACCCCGUUCGGGGUGUGUUAUAGCUCUUACGUAUAUACGCCGGCCGGGACCGAGGACGGCAGCGCGCCCCUGGUGGCCGGAGGUUCGCCUCACGUUUUCGCGCUUAGGAUGUUGGCAUAAUGGCUUUAAGCGACCCGUCUUGAAACACGGACCAAGGAGUCUAACAUGCUCGCGAGUGUUAGGGUGGAAAACUCUUGCGCGGAAUGAAAGUAAAUGUUGUUAGAGCCCUCCGCAAGGGGGUGCAUCGACGCCCGGCCCUGAAGUUUACGGACGGUGCUGCGGUGGAGCGCGCAUGUUGGGACCCGAAAGAUGGUGAACUAUGCCUGAAUAGGGCGAAGCCAGAGGAAACUCUGGUGGAGGCUCGUAGCGAUUCUGACGUGCAAAUCGAUCGUCAAAUUUGGGUAUAGGGGCGAAAGACUAAUCGAACCAUCAAUUGCU